GAAAAUUUUGAGCCUUUUCUGGUGGCGAAGCGUCCUCCAAGGGGAAGGAGCUCGCCGAUCAGUGAGUGCGUCUCAGGACGAGACGACUGGUUCAACUGCGACGUUGGACAGAGUUGUGCUGUGCAGCAGUAGAGGUUUAUCUGUACUUCUUAUUUAGAUUUGUUAUAGUAUGCAUGUAACCUCUAUGGAUCCACUAGACUUGACCUUAUAUGUGGUUCUUGUAUUUAUAUUUUCGGGUUGUAUCUUAAAACCCUGGUUUGUGCUGUUAUUGUUGCUACUUGUGUUUAGGGUUCCUAGUACUAGGGAACCCUAUUUGUGAUAUUUUAUUAUGUUGUCUUCUA